rnacentral:tRNA from 1 species
GCGGGACUAGCUCAGUUGGUAGAGCACGAGCUUCCCAAGCUCGGGGUCGCGCGUUCGAACCGCGUGUCCCGCUCCA